rnacentral:rRNA from 1 species
ACACAUGCAAGUCGAGGGGCAGCAUGAAGUUUGCUUGCAAACUUUGAUGGCGACCGGCGCACGGGUGAGUAACGCGUAUCCAACCUUCCCUAUAGUAGAGAAUAGCCCGGCGAAAGUCGGAUUAAUGCUCUAUGUUAUUCAAAGCGGACAUCUAAUUUGAAUCAAAGGUUCACCGCUAUAGGAUGGGGAUGCGUCUGAUUAGCUUGAUGGCGGGGUAACGGCCCACCAUGGCGACGAUCAGUAGGGGUUCUGAGAGGAAGGUCCCCCACAUUGGAACUGAGACACGGUCCAAACUCCUACGGGAGGCAGCAGUGAGGAAUAUUGGUCAAUGGGCGAGAGCCUGAACCAGCCAAGUAGCGUGCAGGAUGACGGCCCUAUGGGUUGUAAACUGCUUUUAUGCGGGGAUAAAGUCGGCUACGCGUAGCCGUUUGUACGUACCGCAUGAAUAAGGACCGGCUAAUUCCGUGCCAGCAGCCGCGGUAAUACGGAAGGUCCGGGCGUUAUCCGGAUUUAUUGGGUUUAAAGGGAGCGCAGGCCAGGAGGUCAAGCGUGACGUGAAAUGUAGCCGCUCAACGGCUGAGUUGCGUCGCGAACUGGUUUCCUUGAGUGAGUACGACGUCAGCGGAAUUCGUGGUGUAGCGGUGAAAUGCUUAGAUAUCACGAAGAACCCCGAUUGCGAAGGCAGCUGACGAGUCCUUUACUGACGCUAAAGCUCGAAGGUGCGGGUAUCGAACAGGAUUAGAUACCCUGGUAGUCCGCACGGUAAACGAUGGAUGCCCGCUGUUUGCGAUAUAUUGUAAGCGGCCAAGCGAAAGCGUUAAGCAUCCCACCUGGGGAGUACGCCGGCAACGGUGAAACUCAAAGGAAUUGACGGGGGCCCGCACAAGCGGAGGAACAUGUGGUUUAAUUCGAUGAUACGCGAGGAACCUUACCCGGGCUUGAACUGCAGGAGAACGAUCCAGAGAUGGUGAGGCCCUUCGGGGCUCCUGUGGAGGUGCUGCAUGGUUGUCGUCAGCUCGUGCCGUGAGGUGUCGGCUUAAGUGCCAUAACGAGCGCAACCCCUUUCGCCAGUUGCCAUCAGGUGAUGCUGGGCACUC